AUUGAACGCUGGCGGCAGGCCUAACACAUGCAAGUCGAGCGGAUGAAGGGAACUUGCUCCUGGAUUCAGCGGCGGACUGGUGAGUGAUGCCUAGGAAUCUGCCUGUUUGCUGUUUAGUACGUCCGAAAACGGGCGCUCAUACCGCAUUCGUCCUUAGGACGAAAGUGGGAGAGCUUCGGACCUCACGCUCUCACAUGAGCCUAGGUCGGGUUAGCGAGUUGGUGGGGUGAAGGCCUACCAAGGCGCCGAUCCGUCACUGGGCUGAGAGGAUGAUCAGCCAAACUGGAACUGAGACAACGUCCAGAAUCCCAAGGGAGGCAGCAGUGGGGAAUAUUGGACAAUGGGCGAAAGGCUGAUUCCACCCAGCCGGGUGUGGGAAGAAGGUCUUCGGAUUGGUAAGCACUUUAAGUUGGGAGGAAGGGGCGUAAGGUAAUACCUUGCUGUUUCGACGUUAACACAAGAAUAAACAACCGCUAACCUCGUG
rnacentral:rRNA from 1 species